rnacentral:rRNA from 1 species
GACGAACGCUGGCGGCGUGCUUAACACAUGCAAGUCGUACGGUAAGGCCCUUUCGGGGGUACACGAGUGGCGAACGGGUGAGUAACACGUGAGUAACCUGCCCACAACUUUGGGAUAACGCUAGGAAACUGGUGCUAAUACUGGAUAUGUGCUCCUGCUGCAUGGUGGGGGUUGGAAAGCUCCGGCGGUUGUGGAUGGACUCGCGGCCUAUCAGCUUGUUGGUGGGGUAGUGGCCUACCAAGGCGGCGACGGGUAGCCGGCCUGAGAGGGUGACCGGCCACAUUGGGACUGAGAUACGGCCCAGACUCCUAUGGGAGGCAGCAGUGGGGAAUAUUGCACAAUGGGCGCAAGCCUGAUGCAGCAACGCCGCGUGCGGGAUGACGGCCUUCGGGUUGUAAACCGCUUUCAGCAGGGACGAAGCUUUUUGUGACGGUACCUGCAGAAGAAGCACCGGCUAACUACGUG